UCAUUGAAGAUAUGCCAGUGUUGUUUCUGCCCUUUUCUUAGGAUUAUAACAUCAUAUCUUGUAGGAAGAAGCUGAAAAAGUUACACAGCCCUUUCUAGAUGCUCUUGGCGAUGAUUAUUCAGUUUGUUGUCAAGGCACCGCAUUCUUUCCUAUACAAAGUUGUAUGAAUCAUUCUUGCUAUCCAAAUGCCAAAGCAUUCAAAAGAGAUGAGGAUAGAGAUGGCCAAGCAACAAUAAUAGCCCUGCGGCCCAUCUUGAAAGGAGAAGAGAUUACCAUUUCGUACAUUGAUGAGGACCUUCCGUACAAAGGGAGACAAGCUUUACUUGUGGAUUAUGGUUUCAGAUGUAGGUGCCCUAAGUGCCUUGAAGAAGAGGCCUAGAUCUUCUGCCUCCCAUCAAGUGAUUUUGGAGUCUUAGGACAGCACAUUUUGGGUCUUGGUACAUGUGGGCUCGUGUUUUCUCAAUCAAAAUGAUGUGAUUGAUAGGUUCCACCAUAGAUGGUGGACGCCCUAUUUGCAGUUUCCAUCUUAUAAGGUGACUGCCGCUUGUCAUUUGGCCUUUAUUGGGCGCCAUUGCUGCAAUGGCAUAUGUAGGGGCCUGCCUUGCAUUUUUUUUUCUUGAAUCACGAAUCACAACCUUAGAUCUACAUUGUUUUGGCACCAAUGUUCAAUCACCCAUAGAAGGACAUGCAUAUUUGUACUGUAAUUUAAUUAUAGACUGUUUAUAUAUUUUUGAUAAAAUAAUUUAUAUAUGGCAUUAACAGGAGAUGUUCUCAUAAAAAUUAUGCAACCUUUCUUGAAUGAGUACAUCUUCAAUAGAUGAAUGCAUAUUAGAUCUACUUAUUUUGUUGAAUGUACUUCUGCUUAGAUAUUGACACCUUGUUCGGAUAUACUUGGUUCCAUUGUUCUUCAAAUACUGAUGUAAUGUUUGGGUUUGUUCUUCACUUUUAAUGCGAUGCUUGGGUAUAUUUUGGAGCCAACCUCUUUUUCCAUGGGCAAAUAGAAAGGGUG